UACGUAGGGUCCGAGCGUUGUCCGGAAUUACUGGGCGUAAAGAGCUCGUAGGUGGUUUGUCGCGUUGUUCGUGAAAACUCACAGCUCAACUGUGGGCGUGCGGGCGAUACGGGCAGACUAGAGUACUGCAGGGGAGACUGGAAUUCCUGGUGUAGCGGUGGAAUGCGCAGAUAUCAGGAGGAACACCGGUGGCGAAGGCGGGUCUCUGGGCCAUAACUGACGCUGAGGAGCGAAAGCGUGGGGAGCGAACAGG
rnacentral:rRNA from 1 species